UCCAAACAGCUGAGGGAUAUUCCCUUCACAUAAACCUUCCUGGAGUUCAGGAAAGAGAAUUUAGCUUUUCUAUCUGAAUUCUGAGUGAUAAGUUGCAUAGAUUUUCUGAAACUGCAGAGCACCGCUUCCUGGCGUCUGAGCAGGCAGGUUGCACCUGGGACUUUUGGCCACAUUCCCAAGCAGAAAACAAUAAGG